GAUGAACGCUGGCGGCGUGCUUAACACAUGCAAGUCGAACGAUGAAGCCCAGCUUGCUGGGUGGAUUAGUGGCGAACGGGUGAGUAACACGUGAGUAACCUGCCCUUAACUCUGGGAUAAGCCUGGGAAACUGGGUCUAAUACCGGAUAGGAGCGUCCACCGCAUGGUGGGUGUUGGAAAGAUUUAUCGGUUUUGGAUGGACUCGCGGCCUAUCAGCUUGUUGGUGAGGUAAUGGCUCACCAAGGCGACGACGGGUAGCCGGCCUGAGAGGGUGACCGGCCACACUGGGACUGAGACACCGCCCAGACUCCGACGGGAGGCAGCAGUGGGGAAUAUUGCACAAUGGGCGCAAGCCUGAUGCAGCGAGGCCGCGUGAGGGAUGACGGCCUUCGGGUUGUAAACCUCUUUCAGUAGGGAAGAAGCGAAAGUGACGGUACCUGCAGAAGAAGCACCGGCUAACUACGUG
rnacentral:rRNA from 1 species